UAUCAAUAAUUAAUUUUUACAAUAAAUUAUCAUCUUACUACUUAAAUAUAAUAUAUUUGAAAUAAUUUUAUACAAUAAAAAGAUAAAUAAAAAUGAAAAAUAAAUGGAAGAUGGAAGGCCCACGUGUGUGGAAAUAUAUGCAAGGCCACAUAUGAUGGCAUUAUUGUAAAUUCUUUACUUAGCAUUGUUGGUAAUUAAAGAGAAAAAAUGGGCUUUUAUUAAAACUUUUAAUGAGGUUCAAAAAACAAAGAACAAAAAAUUAUUAAUUUAAGCUUAGAACUUAUUUUAAAGACAUUAAUACCCUCAAUAUUGAAUUUAAAGACAAAAAAGUGACAUGUUGAAACCUUCACUUCUAAUAUAUAGAAAUGAUGUAUGUGGACAAGAAGGGCCAUGUGUGUGGAGGACUAAGGCGGCCGCCUAUUUUUUUACAAGGUACCAGGGGCAGACUUUUGUAGGAUUUUGAGGUGCUCCGACACCCGCUCAACUCAACGCGGAAUAGGUAUAAUUACAUAGAAAAUAUAUGAAAAUAGGUAUAAAACAUAUAAAAGCACCCACUAUAACAAAAAGUUUGUUAGGUGCAUUGACAUUUAGGUUGAUUUAAGGUCUUUCAUAGGAAAGAGGCCCCGAGUUCAAAUCUCAUUUAGGUGAUUGUUUACUUUUUUCAUUUUUAAAAUUUUUUAAACACCCACUAUCUUUAAAAUUUGGGUCCGCCACUGUCUUGUAAUAUCCCAUAUCAUCUUAGUUCUAGUCCUUAAAAGAAAAGAAAAAAAAGUGGGUCACCCCCAUCUUUCAAUUAAAAAGAAGGAAAAGGAUUGGGUUUUUACCCAUAUGCGUUUAACCUCAAGAGCGGACCUACCUUGUAUUUUGGGGUGCUUCGUUAUCCACUAAACUUGACGCGGAAUAGGUAUAAUUACAUAGAAAAUAUAUGAAAAUAGGUAUAAAACAUAUAAAAGCACCCACUAGAACAAAAGUUAGUUGGGUGCAUUGGCAUUUAAGUUGAUUUUAAGGCGCUUCAUUGGAAAGAGGUCCUAGGUUUGAACCUCAUUGAAGUUAUUUUUAUUUUUUUCAGUUUUAAAAUUUUUUAAGCACCCACUAUCCUUAAAUUCUGGAUCCGCCACUGCUUAAACCACAUAAAAUGGGGAAAAGGAAUUAUGUGUGCUGCUUCUUUCAGCAAGCACAAACAAGGAAAAAAAAUUAUUUAAGGAUUAGGGUCCGAGAAUGCAACAUCAGUUGCAUCUGUAACUCCCAAAAAAAGGUCAACUUGUUAAUUGGAGCAAAAUAAAAUCAAGGACGAAGAAAAAGUGGGUUUGUUUGGAGAUUUAUAUCGGGUUUAAGGUAAAUCUUUUUUUUUUACAUCCUUAUCAUGAUUUCUAGUCUAGGUAAAAUUAUUUUGGAUAUUGCUAUUUAGUUGUUAAAGGCAAGAAUUAUGGACAAUAAGAAUUAUUUUGGAUACUAGUUCAAUGAAUUGAAAAUAUCUUGAAACCUUGAGGGUUGGGUAGUCUAAUUUUAUUAUAAUUUAGCCUAAAAUAAGAAAAUUAACUCGAGAAUGAUAUGAUAUGAUUUUAGAUUCGAUCGAAGGGAGUCCUAUCAAUUGUUCGAAGUGACAAGUUUGGUAUUUCGAAAAUUGUACUAUGAGUAGUAAUCUUACCAUAAUUUAUGUUUGUUAACUUGCAUAUUUUAUACUUGAUUUUGAUGAAACAAUGAGUUAUGAACUGUUUUGAAAUUGCAUGUGGGACAAGUCCUUUACUUGAUAUGAUGUUGAAAUUGUUAUUUGAGAUAUGAUAUUAUUACUGUGAAUAUUCUUCACUUACAUGAGAAACAUGUAUUUUGACAUUUAUUUUUAUUCACGAUUUAUAUGUAAUAUGAUUUGAUAUGAACUUUAAAUGAUAUGUACUAUUCUGACAAAUGCUUUCAUAUGAAUAUCCUAUUGUUUACAAAGUAUAAAUGGGAGUAGACUUGAUUGGAUCCCGUAGCUAACGGAGGGAUCGUUAGACCUGGUGCACCUUGUAUUUACUGAUGACUAUUACAGUCCUCGCUAGUGGAAAGAUAGAACUAGCAUACUGUUACUGAUAUGAUAUUUGACUCCUUUGUGAGGGGUCCACUGUUAUGGGCUAUUCUUGAUGAAGAAGAAUGUCACACUAAUUACAUGAUUCAUUUCUGGAAACCUCCCAAACAUGUAAUAUUUGAUAUGAUACGAUACGAUACUUUUUGAGUUUAUUACUGAACUGUUGGUUCACUUGGCUUACAUGAAACAAUGAUAUUGUUUAUCGUUACUGUUUCCUAAAAGAGCAUUAUUUCAUGAUGUUUUAUGACUUGUCCCAAUUUAAACGGUUGUGGUUAAGUGUUAUUACUCACUGAGCUAGCGUCUCACUCCUCACUAUUAUUUUUCAGAGAACACAGGUGACGGUGAGGAUCGCGUUGACUAGAGGAUCUGAGUAGCAUAUUCCUGGGUAGAAAUGAGGAAAUACGAGUUGAAUAAGUUGUGUAUGGAUGAGACUGAUCCAAAGAUCAAUGCUGAAAGUAAACAUGACAUUUUAUUGCAAAUGCAGACGUCUUGGACAGAUCGCAAUCCCGGUAGAAGAUUUUGGGUGUGUCCUCAUUAUGAGGUUUGUGUUAAUUCUUGGUUAAUUGAAUAAUGUUGAUGUCGGUGUAAAGAUCUAUAAUUUAUGUUCUUAAUUUUCGGACUAUAAAUUACAAUUAUUUUAGAUGGAAAGACUUGGAACGAGUUGACGAAAGAUCAAAAUUUGUUCUUUCAAGAUUGGUGAACAAGAUUAAUGAGCUAGAAAAGAAUUAUGAGAGUGUUAAGAUGCAAUUGAAUAAGCUUGAAAGCUUGAAGACUCAACGUCAUAAUCCCAACAACAUGAAUUUAGACGAUUAGGAGUCAAAAUAAGAAAAUGACUUUGAAAAUAUGCAGAUUAAAUUUCAAAGUCUCAACAUCAAGACAAGUUGUUCAGAUAUGAAGAAUGAAGUAGAUGAGAAUGUGAUGGGUAAUUUGAAAGAAAAUGUCAAGUGCGGUUUGAAAGACAAGAGAAAGAAGAUGGAAAAGAAGAAGGAAAGAGCAUGUAACUUUACUGAAAAUUCCUUUGUUGUAUGAUUAUAUGUGUAGGUGUUGUUGUUGUUUGUUUUGUUAUGCAAUUUGGUAACAUGAAGAACAGUCUAAUGAAGUUGCCAUUCAAUUUUCUUUU